rnacentral:sRNA from 1 species
GCAGGGCAUGGUGGCACAUGCCUGUAAUCCCAGCUAAUGGGAGGCUGAGGCAGGAGAAGCACAAGUUCAAAGCCAGCCUCAGCAAAAGCAAGGUGCUAAGCAACUCAGUGAGACCCUGUCUCUA